AAAGGGAGACCUAAUUCAGGUAGGAGACGAAAAAAAAGUAGUCCCUACCAAGAAUCAAUCCCAAAAGGUCGGAACGAGGUAUGAGGCUUUCAAACUAGGUUCUGGGUUCAUAAAAGACCUGAAUCAGGAACAAGGGCUAUUAGCUCAGGUGGUUAGAGCGCACCCCUGAUAAGGGUGAGGUCCCUGGUUCGAGUCCAGGAUGGCCCACCUGCACAGGUGGCAAAAACAAGAGAAGCGAGGAAUCAGCACCUUAUCUUAUAUACAUAUAUAAGAGAGAAUGCUGGCUCUGAGUACAGAGUCCAGAGGAACCUUGAAAACUGCAUAGAGCUAGGUGAAAAAGCCAAAAAAGAAGACCGCAAG
rnacentral:tRNA from 1 species